GCUACUCAAGAGGCAGAACUGCAACUGAAAAAUCAAGGUACUGAAGCUUUGAUUGCUAAGAUAGGGUGUCAGACUGAGAAACUGAGCCAAGAAAAGGCCAUUGCAGAUGCAGAGGAGCUAAAGGAAAUUAUAUGGCUGAGAGAUGUAUUUCUUCUGAUGGUUUCCUACCUGUGAAAUGUUAGAGGAUGAUGAGAGACUGCUCAUAAGAAAAGUUCAGCAGAUGGAAUGAAGUCUGCAGAUUGUCCAAAAAACGGAUUGGAGCCAGGCCAUUGAAAAUCUCAAAGCACAGAAGAAAACUUUCAUGUGGUGACAUCUUAUUGACAGCAGCAUUUGUGUCUUACUUUGGAACCUGCAUAAAACAACAUCACCAGGACCCAAAGGGACAUUUCUGGAUUACUUCUCUAAAGAAGGCCUGGACCCAGUUCACCACAUUGAGGGAUGAUGCUACGGCUGUGGCAUGGAGUAAGGAUGGUGAUAGGAUGUCAACAGAUAACACCACUCUUCUAACAAACUGUGCCCUUCAUAUGCUGUCAUCAAGUGAUGGGGAGGAAAUGAAGUGA
rnacentral:lncRNA from 1 species